rnacentral:rRNA from 1 species
GCUUGUCUCAAAGAUUAAGCCAUGCAUGUAUAAGUAUAAACGACUUGAUCGUGAAACCGCGAACGGCUCAUUAUAACAGCUAUAAUUUACUUGAUCUUGACAAUUUACUUGGAUAACUGUGGUAAUUCUAGAGCUAAUACAUGCACCAAAGCUCCGACCGUAAGGAAAGAGCGCAUUUAUUAGAACAAAACCAAGCGGCUUCGGCCGUUCAAUGUUGAAUCAUAAUAACUAAGCUGAUCGCAUGGUCUUGUACCGGCGACGUGUCUUUCAAGUAUCUGCCUUAUCAACUUUCGAUGGUAGUGUAUCUGACUACCAUGGUUGUGACGGGUAACGGAGGAUAAGGGUUCGACUCCGGAGAAGGGGCCUGAGAAAUGGCCACUACGUCUAAGGAUGGCAGCAGGCGCGCAAAUUACCCACUCUCAGAACGAGGAGGUAGUGACGAGAAAUAACAAGACCGUUCUCUUCAGAGGCCGGUCAUUGGAAUGGGUACAAUUUAAACCCUUUAACGAGUAUCUAUGAGAGGGCAAGUCUGGUGCCAGCAGCCGCGGUAAUUCCAGCUCUCAAAAUGCAUAGAAUCAUUGCUGCGGUUAAAAAGCUCGUAGUUGGAUCUGUGCUGGCGGGUCGGUCCACCUUCGGGUGCGCACUGAUUUCGCCGGCUUUUCUGCUGUAUUUGGCCCAGUGCCUUUCAACGGGUGCUGUGUCCAGUGCAGCAAGUUUACCUUGAACAAAUCAGAGUGCUUCAAACAGGCGUUUCGCUUGAAUGUUCGUGCAUGGAAUAAUAGAAGAGGAUUUCGGUUCUAUUUUAUUGGUUUUAUAGACUGAGAUAAUGGUUAACAGAGACUAACGGGGGCAUUAGUAUUGCUACGUGAGAGGUGAAAUUCUUGGACCGUAGCAAGACUGACUACAGCGAAAGCAUUUGCCAAGAAUG